UCUCGAAGUAGGCAUCAUUGUGAACGGC
rnacentral:sRNA from 1 species